GCCAGCCUUGGGACCGAAGGUGGUCCCUGGAGAGCCAGUUGUGAGGACAUCUGGGUCUGGCCUGUGAGUCCUCUCAGGCUUCCUGUUUGAGCUGUGACUCCUUGCUCCUGCCAUCGCCCUCUGCCAUGGUGUGACACAGCCAAGGGGACCCUCACCAGGACUGAGCCCACGCAGCUGCCUGCCAGGAACCUCCAGAACUGGGAGCCGAAUGGGCUCUUUUUCUUCAGAGCAGCCUGCCUCAGGUGUUUCGCUACAGUCACGCACAGCUGACUGACACACCCGCCAAGGUCGCAAGGCCAGGCAGGAGCAGAGCUGAGAUUUGAACCCGGGCAGAGUCCAGGCCUGUAACUAGGGUCCGACGACGCCCCUGUUUCUGGGCCAGUAGGAGCCCAGGGCCUGCUGCAGAAAGACCCUCAGCCAGUGUCCCCGCCUGCUGGACGGGCCUUUCUGUGCAGCCCUCUGGAUCCCCAGAUGAUGGUGGGGGCUGCUGUCCACACCCCACUCAGAGGGGAGUGGCGUCGCCUGGUGGCUGGGACUCCAGGGAACCAGUCACUUCCCCAUCUAGAGAAUGUCUGCGCUCAAGGGGACACAGGGGUCCCUGAGUCCAGCAGAUGGCAGCUCCGAGGCCCUGGCCCACAGCCUGCUCUGAAGAUCCCUGGUGUUUGACGUGUGGCCCAGAGGUGACUCCCAGGCCAGGCCGCCAAGUGGUUGCCAUAGCAGGGGACCUUCUGUGUGACAGUCUCCUGCCACCUUCCCAGCAUUGCAGAUAGGGGACUGAGGUCCCUGGGAGCGACACCCCCUCCCCAGGGUGGCAGCUUGGGACAAGGUCAUGGGGACUGCUCACAGGAAGGAAGUGGCUUACCCAGAGCCCGAGCCAGCAGACAGGACCUGGGUGUGGGCCGAGGCCGCCUGGGCCAGGGGACCUGCCCAUCGCCGGCACCUUGGGGUUGACCGGGAGGAAGGCCUGCAGGGCCGUGGGGGACCCCUGGGAGGCACUGUCCGGGGCCCGUGGGUGGCAGUUCUGGUCGGAGACCGUCACGGAGGGUCAGGCUGGUGAGGGCCAGUUUUCCAGAAAGCCCGAAAGCCCCUCCCUCUAGGGGCCAGCCUUUCCAGCCUCCCCUCGGGACAGCGAGGUCAGGUUCCCUGGGCCAGAACCGUCCUCAGCCAUCGGGAAGGGAGGACAGAGAGCUGGGGAGGAGCCAGCCCCUGCCUGGUGCCAAGAGCCCAGGACCCCGCCUAGGGGCUGCUUCUUGUCCCUCUCCAUGUCAUUACUGAUCUCCUACCAAGUCCUACAAUAGCUUAGAAGACCCACCAUGAUCUGACCCCCUCUCUGCCCGGCAUUAUACCAAAUGUGGGGCCCCUCGAAAUUAGCCCUGGGAGGUAUCAUUACCUUGUGCACCAGAGAAGUUCAGUGUGUUACCCAAUGUCACACAGCAUGGAAGUGGCUGGGCCAUUGUCUGGUGACACAGAACCUCACACGCUCUCCUUCCUUGGUGCCUAUAAUGGCUAUGGAGGGAAACACCUUCCCUCCAGAUUCCUGGAAAUCUGAGAAGAGACCAGGAGAGCAAAACUGCCUGCAGAUCUAUUUUAUCUGACACAUUCCCACAAAAAAAAAAAAAAAAAUCUGUGUUUUACCUCAAAAUACCUCCACAGUUUUCUAAUGAAAAUAAGGAGCCAUCUUCCCAGAUCUCUAAGAGCACAGGCAUUCCCAUGGCAUGCACAGGGCUAAUCCUGAGCUCUGGAUCCCCUGGUUUGGGGAGAAGGACCCCAGGCCCUGUGGUUACCCACCCUCAGUUUAAAAAGCGCCAUCCUGUGCAGAGUCCCCAGCGCAGACUCACAGCCAGCUUUAUGUCAUGAAUGUCCCUUCCAACAGCAGGUUACCUCCUUCCUUCCUGCAGGGGCCAAAGGAAGCCCCUCCCCCACACCAGGACAGCGGGGACCCAGAGAGCAGGG
rnacentral:lncRNA from 1 species